GCAGCAGCAACAACCACCCCAGUAACAACAACCGCAGCAAAAACAAAUCCAGCAACAACAACCAGAUCCUCAACCAGAUUGUCAAGACCUACCUGUCAACAGGACAUAAUUAUGGCCCAGCUGCUAUUAGACAUCACUGGCAUAACAGAUGCCAGUAAGGCUGCAAAGAAGUUGUUCCGCCGCCUGUACAGGGAGGAGUGAAAUAAAACGAAGGACUGUGAAACACUAGAGUACUUGAAAUAUUCUGUUUUGUUAAGAGUGUAUAUAUCCAUUGUCUACUUCAAAUAAUAAAUUGUUAUACAUUA